UACGGAGGGUGCGAGCGUUGUCCGGAAUCAUUGGGCGUAAAGGGCGCGUAGGUGGCCCGGUCAGUUCGUGGUGAAAGCGCGGGGCUCAACCCUGCGUCGGCCAUGAAUACUGCCGCGGCUGGAGCACUGUAGAGGCAGGCGGAAUUCCGGGUGUAGCGGUGGAAUGCGCAGAUAUCAGGAGGAACACCGGUGGCGAAGGCGACUUACUGGACACAUAUUGACGCUGAGGUGCGAAAGCGUGGGGAGCAAACAGG
rnacentral:rRNA from 1 species